AAUGAACGUUGGCGGCGUGGAUUAGGCAUGCAAGUCGUGCGGAAAGGCUCCUUCGGGAGUACUCGAGCGGCGUAAGGGAGAGUAACGCGUGGAUAUCUACCCCCUGGACUGGGAUAGCGGCGGGAAACUGCCGGUAAUACCAGAUAAUGUCUGCGGACCAAAGGUGUGAUUCCGCCGGGGGAUGAAUUCGCGUCCUAUUAGCUAGUUGGUAGGGUAAUGGCCUACCAAGGCAAAGAUGGGUACCGGGUGUGAGAGCAUGGCCCGGCUCACUGGGACUGAGACACUGCCCAGACACCUACGGGUGACUGCAGUCGGGAAUCUUCGACAAUGGGCGCAAGCCUGACCGAGCGACGCCGCGUGCGGGAUGAAGGCCUUCGGGUUGUAAACCGCUGUCAGAGGGGAGGAAAUGCGUGAGAGUUCUCUCUCACGUUUGACCUAUCCUCAGAGGAAGUACGGGCUAAGUUCGUGCCAGCCGCCGCGGUAACAC
rnacentral:rRNA from 1 species